rnacentral:lncRNA from 7 species
ACCGUGCACGGAACUGUCUUCAACGGAGGAAAAAAGUUUGAAAUAAGUGGAAAACAUGGACCUGUUGGAUGUGGGAUUAUGUUGAAACAGUACAGCAGGAGUCCAAAUGGGAGAGGAAAUCUGUGCACAACCAGUGCCACCACGAGAUAAAUAAGCAGCAGGAACCAGGAGAGGAGGAGGAUCUGAGGAGCUGUGACCUUGCAUUGCUCUUGCUCUACAUGGCCAACUGCCUGAACUGAACGUAUACCCUUGUAACUCCGGAAUCUGAUUCAAGGGAAGAACUGCUCUUGGUGCCUGCAACCAGUGGUAGAUACAUUGUGACAUGACUGAUUUGCAGCAGGAGUAACCAGGGGCCUAACAAAAGCCUUGACGGAAAACCACCCAAAGGCAAACCUGCUGCGAUUAGAUUCAGAUCAGUGUGAGAAAAGAUGUCCACACCAUGUUCAUUCCCAUCCCUGUCUUCUCCAGAUAAUGUGCUUCCUUGGAGCUGCCAAGAGAAAACGCAUUCCCACGGUAUCAUCAAAGGAGCUGUGUCCAGCACCAGUUUUUCCUACCAACCAGAUCAACGGGCUGAGUGUGGCAGCUCUGUACAGCAGCUCUCGUGACUCCAGCUGAUACAUUCACAUCAUGAGAAGGUCCGGUGAGUUGCUUUCAGUUUAUUUUAAACACUCUCAACUCUUGUGUACAGACAUGAGGGACUAAAGAAUAAUGAUCACGCAAAAACAAAGGAAGUACAGCAGCUGCUACCAUCUGAAAAACAAAUGUUGUAUGGACUAAGCAUCUUACUUGUGGCAGUUUCGCAUUCACAUUUUUCUGGCUGCUGAGAAAUUUGAAAGUUGGAUGUUGAGUUCACUAGAGCAGAGCUAGAAAACCCUUUUCUUUCCUAAGGUCUUUAUUUUAGAACUGUUGGUUCCAGCUAUAAAUCAAUGGAAACAUUUGUUUUUCACUAAGGUGGAAAGAGCAGCUAAGGUGGAGACAGUACUUUGUGAAACAUGGUGUUCUUGUAACCAAGAGUACCCCUGAGCUAAAAUGUGUUCAGCUCUGGGCACCAAAUAAUCAAAGUAUAUGUGGAAUUUUAAAAUGUACACUAAUUAGAAAAUUGAACAUAGAACCAAAGAAAGAUGGAAAAGACCGGUACCGUUUACCUUUAGGGUAAAGAAAACAGUGUGAAGUUCUUGAUAUAUUUGCUAUGACCUUCAUACCCAAUGAUGAAAGAAACAAACCCCAACCACAGGUGAGAGACUCUUAUUGGCCCUUUCCCUCUCAGAAAGAAAAUACACAAGUUUUAAAGUUUGGAGAGAAAAUCCUCUAUUUUUGGUACUCUUGUUGUCACCACUGAGAAAGUUACAGAAAUCUGAAGGCAAGCCACAAUGGAAUGAAAGAUGCUUCACUAGUUACGAAUUUUCUCUCUUUAGGAAGGUAUGUUAAGAACAUUUAAAAAGUUUUCUUGAUAUAAACAUGUUGAAAAAUUGCUUUUUUACUAUGGAAAGCAUUUUAAUGUCUCAUAAACAGAUUUUUCUGUGGAUCUAUAAAUACACAUAUGGAAAGAUUACAAUAUAACCGUUUGGCACUG